UGGGGAAUUUUGCGCAAUGGGGGAAACCCUGACGCAGCGACGCCGCGUGGAGGAUGAAGGCCCUUGGGUUGUAAACUCCUGUCAGGAAGGACGAACGGCAGGGUAGUUAAUAUCUGCCCUGUUUGACGGUACUUCCAGAGGAAGCUCCGGCUAACUCCGUGCCAGCAGCCGCGGUAAGACGGAGGGAGCAAGCGUUGCUCGGAAUCACUGGGCGUAAAGGGCGUGUAGGCGGGAUGGUCAGUCGGAUGUGAAAGCCCCGGGCUCAACCCGGGAAGUGCAUUCGAUACUGCCGUUCUUGAGUGUGGUAGAGGAGAGCGGAAUUCCUGGUGUAGCGGUGAAAUGCGUAGAUAUCAGGAAGAACACCUGUGGCGAAGGCGGCUCUCUGGACCAAUACUGACGCUGAGGCGCGAAAGCUAGGGGAGCG
rnacentral:rRNA from 1 species